CCUCAGGGAACUGCGGCUCUUCUAUCGAAGAUGUGAGAGGCACAAUUGACACCAGCAGCAGAGGGCGGAGUGCUUACUCCAACCAGUGGUGUGAAACUGAAACGGUCGAAACCAGAAAUAUUCCCAGUGAUAAACCUUUCCAAUUGAUACAAAACAGCUGCUGUUGGAUCCCCACAGUAAACGGUCUUGGAUCUUGGAGCCUGGAAACUCAAGUGGAUCUGGGAUCAAGAUCGGAUACUGGUGAACCCAACAGAUCUCCAGUCACAGCCAUUCUUCCUUUCAUACGUGUUCCCCAGAACUGUCAGAGAUCCUACAACCUCAUGGCCUUUGACCCUGACGGUGAUCGUGUCAGAUGCAGAUACGGAUUGGUCAGACCUGAGUGCGAUAGGUGUGACCAGCCCUCA